UCCCACAGGCUGCAGCUCUCCCAGCACUGCUCCAUACAGCUCUAUAUCACAGGUCCCCAUUAUUCAGGACCACAUUGCUCCAUCACAGGGCCCCACGGAAUCUCCUCUCUUACUGCAACACAGAUUUUGACAAGUGCUUUGUCCUGUAGACGUCAGUGGUAGUAUGACAUUGUUCUUUCUGAUGUGUCAACACUGGGACUCGAGGGAACAAGAAAGCUCUCCUCAAAAGGUAAGGAAGAUAGAAACUAAGCAGAAGGAAAAACCUAAGGCAACAUGUCACUCAGCCUGGAAGCCAACAUCAAGAAUUUAAAACAUAUCGUUGUAGCACGAAAUCUAGUUUAAUGCUUUACUUCAAGGGGAAAUAUCCUGUUGGUUGGAUAUGAUCACAUUUUCAAAUACUAAACAACUUACAAACAAAUAUAUAUAUAUUUUUUCAGUCAAAUAAUCUUUCACUUUUCUAUGUUGUUUUUUGUUUUUUGUUUUUUGUUUUUUGUU